CCUACGGGAGGCAGCAGUGGGGAAUAUUGCACAAUGGGGGAAACCCUGAUGCAGCGAAGCCGCGUGAGUGAAGAAGUAUUUCGGUAUGUAAAGCUCUAUCAGCAGGGAAGAAAUAGCGACCUUUGGGUCGCCAGACGGUACCUGAUUAAGAAGCCCCGGCUAACUACGUGCCAGCAGCCGCGGUAAUACGUAGGGGGCAAGCGUUAUCCGGAUUUACUGGGUGUAAAGGGGGCGUGGACGGCAGCGCAAGUCUGAAGUGAAAUGCCGGGGCCUAACCCCGGAACUGCUGUGGAAACUGUGCAGCUAGAGUGCAGGAGAGGUAAGUGGAAUGCCUGGUGUAGCGGUGAAAUGCGUAGAUAUUAGGAGGAACACCAGUGGCGAAGGCGGCUUACUGGACUGUAACUGACGUUGAGGCUCGAAAGCGUGGGGAGCAAACAGGAUUAGAUACCCGUGUAGUC
rnacentral:rRNA from 1 species